rnacentral:rRNA from 1 species
GUUGGGCUGUUCGCCCAUUAAAGUGGUACGCGAGCUGGGUUCAGAACGUCGUGAGACAGUUCGGUCCCUAUCCGUCGCAGGCGUAGGAAAUUUGAGAAGACCUGUCCUUAGUACGAGAGGACCGGGAUGGACGUACCUCUGGUGUACCAGUUGUCCUGCCAAGGGCAUGGCUGGGUAGCUAUGUACGGAAUGGAUAAGCGCUGAAAGCAUCUAAGCGCGAAGCCAACUUCAAGAUAAGAUUUCCCACCGCAAGGGUAAGACCCCAGAAAGACUAUCUGGUUGAUAGGUCGAAGGUGUAAGUGCAGCAAUGUAUUUAGCUUAUCGAUACUAAUAGGUCGAGGACUUGACCAAU